UGCAAGUCCUUCCCCCGAUGGCUUGAGC
rnacentral:piRNA from 1 species